rnacentral:rRNA from 1 species
GAUGAACGCUGGCGGCGUGCCUAAUACAUGCAAGUCGAGCGAACGGACGAGAAGCUUGCUUCUCUGAUGUUAGCGGCGGACGGGUGAGUAACACGUGGAUAACCUACCUAUAAGACUGGGAUAACUUCGGGAAACCGGAGCUAAUACCGGAUAAUAUUUUGAACCGCAUGGUUCAAAAGUGAAAGACGGUCUUGCUGUCACUUAUAGAUGGAUCCGCGCUGCAUUAGCUAGUUGGUAAGGUAACGGCUUACCAAGGCAACGAUGCAUAGCCGACCUGAGAGGGUGAUCGGCCACACUGGAACUGAGACACGGUCCAGACUCCUACGGGAGGCAGCAGUAGGGAAUCUUCCGCAAUGGGCGAAAGCCUGACGGAGCAACGCCGCGUGAGUGAUGAAGGUCUUCGGAUCGUAAAGCUCUGUUAUUAGGAAAGAACAUAUGUGUAAGUAACUGUGCACAUCUUGACGGUACCUAAUCAGAAAGCCACGGCUAACUACGUG